GACGAACGCUGGCGGCGUGCUUAACACAUGCAAGUCGAGCGGUAAGGCCCUUUCGGGGGUACACGAGCGGCGAACGGGUGAGUAACACGUGGGUGACCCGCCCUCAGCUCUGGGAUAAGCCUGGGAAACUGGGUCUAAUACUGGAUAUGACUCCACGGUGCAUGUCGUGGGGUGGAAAGCCUUGUGCGGCUGAGGAUGGGCCCGCGGCCUAUCAGCUUGUUGGUGGGGUGAUGGCCUACCAAGGCGACGACGGGUAGCCGGCCUGAGAGGGCGACCGGCCACACUGGGACUGAGACACGGCCCAGACUCCUACGGGAGGCAGCAGUGGGGAAUCUUGCGCAAUGGGCGAAAGCCUGACGCAGCGACGCCGCGUGAGGGAUGACGGCCUGGUGUAACU
rnacentral:rRNA from 1 species